UGGGAAACUGCCUGAUGGAGGGGGAUAACUACUGGAAACGGUAGCUAAUACCGCAUAACGUCGCAAGACCAAAGAGGGGGACCUUCGGGCCUCUUGCCAUCGGAUGUGCCCAGAUGGGAUUAGCUAGUAGGUGGGGUAACGGCUCACCUAGGCGACGAUCCCUAGCUGGUCUGAGAGGAUGACCAGCCACACUGGAACUGAGACACGGUCCAGACUCCUACGGGAGGCAGCAGUGGGGAAUAUUGCACAAUGGGCGCAAGCCUGAUGCAGCCAUGCCGCGUGUAUGAAGAAGGCCUUCGGGUUGUAAAGUACUUUCAGCGGGGAGGAAGGGAGUAAAGUUAAUACCUUUGCUCAUUGACGUUACCCGCAGAAGAAGCACCGGCUAACUCCGUGCCAGCAGCCGCGGUAAUACGGAGGGUGCAAGCGUUAAUCGGAAUUACUGGGCGUAAAGCGCACGCAGGCGGUUUGUUAAGUCAGAUGUGAAAUCCCCGGGCUCAACCUGGGAACUGCAUCUGAUACUGGCAAGCUUGA
rnacentral:rRNA from 1 species